UGGGGAAUUUUGCGCAAUGGGCGAAAGCCUGACGCAGCGACGCCGCGUGAGCGAUGAAGGCCUUCGGGUUGUAAAGCUCUGUGGGGAGGGAAGAAUAAGGGCGAGCUAAUACCUCGUCUGAUGACGGUACCUCCUUAGCAAGCACCGGCUAACUCUGUGCCAGCAGCCGCGGUAAGACAGAGGGUGCAAACGUUGUUCGGAAUUACUGGGCGUAAAGCGCGUGUAGGCGGCUUUGCAAGUCGGAUGUGAAAGCCCUCGGCUCAACCGAGGAAGCGCACCCGAAACUGCUAAGCUAGAGUCCUGGAGAGGAAGGUGGAACGCUUGGUGUAGAGGUGAAAUUCGUAGAUAUCAAGCAGAACACCGGUGGCGAAGGCGGCCUUCUGGACAGUGACUGACGCUGAGACGCGAAAGCGUGGGGAGCAAACAGG
rnacentral:rRNA from 1 species